rnacentral:rRNA from 1 species
UACAGAGGGGGCAAGCGUUGUUCGGAAUUACUGGGCGUAAAGGGCGCGUAGGCGGCCUGCUAAGUCGAACGUGAAAUCCCUGGGCUCAACCCAGGAACUGCGUCCGAUACUGGUUGGCUUGAAUCCGGGAGAGGGACGUGGAAUUCCAGGUGUAGCGGUGAAAUGCGUAGAUAUCUGGAGGAAUACCGGUGGCGAAGGCGGCAUCCUGGACCGGCAUUGACGCUGAGGAGCGAAAGCCAGGGGAGCAAACGGG